UAGAAACACAAUUUCUAGAAAUUCUAAGGUCGUUUAAAGUACAAUUUUAAUUAUCUACUAAAAGCAGAAAUUUUGUAAACUUUUUUUUUUUUCUUAUUCUGUUUCUUUUUAUAGACUAACUGCAAUGUAAAUAUUUUGUAACUUCUUCAAACAUAAUCUAAUUGUAUUGAAAACAAACAAACAAACAAACAAUAAGAUUUCUUGCAACAUGGCAGAUGAAUUUUUGAUACAGUCUUUACUUAAAAUAUUGCCAUGCUGAUCUAGUUAUUAAGAUUUUUGUGUCAUAAAUUCACAUUGAUAGGCAGUGACCCAGAUAUUCCUAACAUGGACCUUCAUGAAGUACAACUUAACAGUUUGAAUAUCACUAAUGCUUACCAACCAUCUUAAGUUUUAUGAGAGGUAUAGACAAUGCUUCAAAUGGAGACUGCAUUACUAAAGCAAGAGUUGUAUCUUCAUGAAAUAUAUUAACAAAGAAUAAAAAAAAAAAAAAAAAAAA